UAUUCUAGCGUUAAAUUCAUGCAUGAAAAUUAAGCGUGCACUCUCAACCAACAUACACAAAUCAUUUUUAUACGAUCGGAUAAGUAAAUUGAAUUCACAACUUAUGAAUCACAACUGGAUGUAAUCAAAUCAUAUUACAAGUAUGAACAUGGUUUCGAAUCACCCCCUAUCUAAGAGGGGUUUAGUUCCUCAUACUCACAAAGCAAAGAUACAUAAAAUUAGACAUUAAAAUCAAAGGAAAGAAAACACCUAAAAUGCUCCAACUUGGGUACCAAGUGCAUCCAAGAAUUCUCCUUUGCUUGCUUGCGGCAGAUU
rnacentral:lncRNA from 1 species